UAUUGCAGAUGCUACAAUUGAUUUGCUGUUUACCAAAAAUAGGGAAACAAAUGCUGUACAUGUAAAUGUAGGAGCUGGCUCAUAUUUAGAAAUUAAUAUUCCAAUGACAGUUGAAGAAAAUGGUUACACUCCUGCUAUUAAGGGACAACUCUUACAUGUGGAUGCCACUACCAGCAUGCAAUAUCGGACCCUUUUAGAAGCAGAAAUGUUAGCAUUCCACAUCAAUGCCAGCUACCCCCGAAUAUGGAACAUGCCGCAGACAUGGCAGUGUGAAUUAGAGGUUUAUAAAGCCACUUACCACUUCAUCUUUGCACAGAAAAACUUCUUUACAGAUUUAAUUCAAGACUGGUCUAGUGACAGUCCUCCAGACAUUUUUUCAUUUGUUCCAUAUACGUGGAAUUUUAAAAUCAUGUUUCAUCAGUUUGAAAUGAUUUGGGCUGCUAAUCAGCACAAUUGGAUCGACUGUUCUACUAAACAACAGGAAAAUGUGUAUCUGGCAGCCUGUGGAGAAACACUAAACAUUGAUUUUUCUUUGCCUUUUACGGACUUUGUUCCAGCUACAUGUAAUACCAAGUUCUCUUUAAGAGGAGAAGAUGUUGAUCUUCAUUUGUUUCUACCAGAUUGCCACCCUAGUCUGGUUGGGUUGAAUGCUGGACUGUCCCAAGUGUCAUGCUUACAAUUGAUUAUACAUGGCAUCCAAUUUAUCCACAAAAAGCAGAUGAACAGCUAAAACAAUCAUUAUCAGAAAUGGAAGAGACAAUGCUAUCUGUAUUAAGGCCAUCCCAGAAGACAUCAGACAGAGUUGUUUCUUCUCCCUCCACUUCUUCACGCCCACCUAUUGAUCCCUCAGAACUUCCAUCUGAUAAACUUCAUGUAGAAAUGGAACUUUCUCCAGAUUCUCAGAUAACUCUCUAUGGACCUCUACUAAAUGCCUUUUUGUGUAUAAAGGAAAACUACUUUGGGGAAGAUGACAUGUAUGUGGAUUUUGAAGAGGUUAUCUCAAGUCCUGUUUUGUCACUGUCAACAUCAUCCAGCUCUGGGUGGACUGCUGUUGGAAUGGAAAAUGACAAAAAGGAAAAUGAAGGUUCAGCCAAGUCAAUUCAUCCACUUGCCUUGCGUCCUUGGGAUAUUACUGUACUUGUUAAUUUGUACAAAGUUCAUGGGCGUCUUCCUGUUCAUGGAACUACUGAUGGUCCUGAAUGCCCUACAGCUUUCUUGGAAAGACUAUGUUUUGAAAUGAAAAAAGGAUUUAGGGAGACCAUGCUGCAACUUAUCCUGUCACCCCUGAAUGUGUUUGUCAGUGAUAACUAUCAGCGACCCCCUGUGGAUGAAGUACUCAGGGAAGGUCACAUCAAUUUGUCAGGUCUCCAGCUGAGAGCACACGCUAUGUUCUCAGCAGAAGGUCUUCCUUUGGGAAGCGAUUCCUUAGAAUACGCAUGGUUAAUUGAUGUGCAGGCUGGAAGUCUUACAGCUAAGGUCACAGCACCACAGCUGGCAUGCCUCUUGGAGUGGGGACAGACAUUUGUUUUUCAUGUGGUAUGUCGGGAGUAUGAACUGGAAAGACCAAAAUCAGUAAUAAUAUGUCAGCAUGGAAUUGAUCGUCGGUUCUGUGAAUCCAAGUUGAGUUGUAUUCCUGGGCCUUGUCCAACUUCAGAUGAUUUGAAAUAUACUAUGAUUCGUUUAGCAGUAGAUGGAGCCGAUAUUUACAUUGUUGAGCAUGGUUGUGCUACAAAUAUAAAGAUGGGUGCAAUUCGAGUUGCAAACUGUAAUCUCCACAAUCAAUCGGUUGGGGAAGGAAUCAGUGCUGCAAUUCAGGAUUUUCAAGUGAGACAGUACAUUGAGCAAUUAAAUAAUUGCAGAAUUGGACUUCAGCCUGCAGUGCUACGGAGGGCCUAUUGGCUUGAAGCUGGGUCAGCCAAUUUAGGACUUAUUACUGUUGAUAUUGCUUUAGCUGCUGACCAUCAUUCUAAACAUGAGGCACAAAGACAUUUCUUAGAAACUCAUGAUGCCAGAACUAAGAGGUUGUGGUUUUUAUGGCCAGAUGAUAUCCUGAAGAAUAAGAGGUGUAGAAACAAAUGUGGUUGUCUCGGUGGCUGCAGAUUCUUUGGUGGCACAGUAACUGGCCUAGAUUUCUUCAAACUUGAAGAGUUGACACCUUCCAGUAGCUCUGCAUUUUCAAGCACAAGUGCAGAGUCUGAUAUGUAUUAUGGACAGUCUCUGCUACAGCCUGGAGAAUGGAUAAUUACUAAAGAAAUUCCCAAAAUUAUAGAUGGUAAUGUGAAUGGCAUGAAGAGGAAAGAAUGGGAAAACAAAUCAGUGGGAAUAGAAGUAGAGAGAAAAACUCAGCACCUUAGUCUUCAAGUACCAUUACGAUCUCAUAGUUCAUCCUCUUCCUCAGAAGAGAACAGUAGUUCUAGUGCUGCACAGCCUUUGUUGGCUGGUGAAAAGGAAAGUCCUUCAUCUGUUGCUGAUGACCAUUUGGUUCAAAAAGAGUUCUUGCAUGGGACAAAAAGAGAUGAUUGCCAAGCAAGUAUCCCUACAGAAAUUUCAGGAAACAGCCCUGUGUCUCCUAAUACUCAGGAUAAGUCAGUAGGUCAAUCUCCUCUUAGAUCUCCCUUGAAACGACAAGCCUCUGUCUGUUCCACCCGUCUUGGAAGUACUAAGAGUCUUACUGCUGCUUUCUAUGGGGACAAGCAGCCUGUAACAGUUGGAGUCCAGUUUAGUAGUGAUGUCUCUCGAAGUGAUGAGAAUGUACUAGACUCACCAAAGCAGAGGAGAAGUUUUGGUUCAUUCCCAUAUACACCAUCAGCAGACUCUAAUUCAUUUCAUCAGUAUCGAUCGAUGGAUUCCAGCAUGUCAAUGGCUGAUAGUGAAGCCUACUUUUCUGCUGCUGAGGAAUUUGAGCCCAUUAGCAGUGAUGAAGGCCCUGGAACUUAUCCGGGUAG
rnacentral:sRNA from 1 species